UACGGGGGGGGCAAGCGUUGUUCGGAAUUACUGGGCGUAAAGGGCUCGCAGGCGGCCGACUAAGUCAGACGUGAAAUCCCUUGGCUUAACCAAGGAAUGGCGUCUGAUACUGGACGGCUUGAAUUCGGGAGAGGGAUGUGGAAUUCCAGGUGUAGCGGUGAAAUGCGUAGAUAUCGGGAGGAACACCAGUGGCGAAGGCGGCGACCUGGGCCAAUAUUGACGCUGAGGUGCGAAAGCGUGGGGAGCAAACAGG
rnacentral:rRNA from 1 species